rnacentral:rRNA from 1 species
AUUGAACGCUGGCGGCAGGCCUAACACAUGCAAGUCGAGCGGAUGAAGGGAGCUUGCUCCUGGAUUCAGCGGCGGACGGGUGAGUAAUGCCUAGGAAUCUGCCUGGUAGUGGGGGAUAACGUCCGGAAACGGGCGCUAAUACCGCACACGUCCUGAGGGAGAAAGUGGGGGAUCUUCGGACCUCACGCUAUCAGAUGAGCCUAGGUCGGAUUAGCUAGUUGGUGGGGUAAAGGCCUACCAAGGCGACGAUCCGUAACUGGUCUGAGAGGAUGAUCAGUCACACUGGAACUGAGACACGGUCCAGGCUCCUACGGGAGGCAGCAGUGGGGAAUAUUGGACAAUGGGCGAAAGCCUGAUCCAGCCAUGCCGCGUGUGUGAAGAAGGUCUUCGGAUUGUAAAGCACUUUAAGUUGGGAGGAAGGGCAGUAAGUUAAUACCUUGCUGUUUUGACGUUACCAACAGAAUAAGCACCGGCUAACUUCGUG